CUCCUUAGUUCUCCUGUUUUCGGACAGGGCCUGAGGCCGAUUUCCCCUGAAUAGGAUCAAAGAAGUGAGGGGACUAGCCUAGGGCCUGGAACACCCAGAGGGUGGCUGCUGGGGGCGUGAGAACUGGGUAGGGGUGCCUCCAGGAAGUCCUCUUAUGUGUGCUUCUUUGUUCAUUUGACAAGGAUUUGCUGAGCACCUACUAUGCAUCAGACGCUGUGUUCUAGGCAAGGGGGAUACACCUGAUGGAAGAAGGUCCUUCCCUAGACGUAGCUAACAUCCCAGUGUGGGAGAUGACACGAAACAAGUAUGGUGGAAAUGAUGUCACGCCCACUCCAGGCCUAACCUCUAGGAGGACUGGCAGUUUCUGCUAUGGCCUCUGGGAGCCAUGAGCUGCCAUGAAAAAGGUCAAACUACUCUGCUGGAGACACCCACCUGGAGAAGCCCUGGGAUUCCAUGGAGAGGCAGACGGACCCAGCUGAGCUCAGUGUUCCAGCCAUCCCCACGAAAGCACCAGGAACCUGAGUGAAACCAUCUCGAUCCUCCAGCAUAGCACAAUCAGCAGCUGAAGAUCACUGAGUGACUCUAGUCGGCGCUCCAUGGAUCACUGAAGGAUCACCCAGCUGAGCCCUGCGCAAAUUUCUGACUCACAAAACUGUAGACGAUACAAUGGUUGUUGUUUGGGGGCAGUUUGUUAUGCUGUAGCAAUAAAUAGCCAGAAGAGACCAAGAGGCAGAAGUUGUUUGCUGAAAAUAAUGCAAAAAUUAUACCAGCCCUUGCCCAGCUACCUCCGGAUUUCUUGCUACAUGAAAAAAAAAAAAAAAAUCCCUAUUUGUUUAAGCCUCGUUGACACCUUGGGCUAUUGCUCAGUCCUCAGUUUUCCAUUUGUUAAAUGGAGCAUUAGCUCCUGUCUUACUACUUCCCAAAGGUGCCUGAGAGGGUAGAGUAAGAAUGAAGAAGAGAAGGCCUUUUUCAUGUAAUAUAAACAGUGCUUAUGUUCCCAAAGAUCAGCGAGUGACAUGCUCAAACAGUUAUAAUAUAUUUAAUGUGGUCAUAAUGGGAGUGAACUUGUCAUGAACCAAUUGCAAUGGAUUUUGGAAUCAGACACGUUAGGGCUUGAGGCUCUCAGCUCUGCUAGACAAACUUCUAACUUGACAAAUAGGCCAGUCAUUAAAUCUCUCCAAGCCUUAGUUCCCUCAUCAAUAAAGCACAGACGAUGUGAUUUCC
rnacentral:lncRNA from 1 species